CACACACACACACACACACACACACACACACACACAGUGUGUUUAACCUUGCAGAAGUUUGCCAACCUUACACUUACAUGAGUGUCCACUUUAAAAACUUAGCCCCAAUACCACCCACAAUCCAUCAAUACCUAAAAUAGUCCACACCACACACAGUCCGCUACCACCCACAGUCCCAACCACCCACAGUCCAUGGAUGAGCAGGCCUCUCUCUGCAAAGAGGUUCAGGCCUUUAUGGCACACCUUUUCCCCUUCAAUCGCUACAUUGUUUACAAAUAACCGACUAAAACAAGCUUAUAUUUUGGGUUAUGAUGAUGUACGACAGUUGAACUAACCUCAUGAAGCAUUUUAUAAGUUAUAUUUUUCUAGAAUCAAUGGGUAUACAGUAUAUCAUAUUAUAUUAAAUGUCAAAAAAUGGAUGUACCAAGAGCAGAUUGCCCCUUUCAUCACUACAUUAACACUCCAGCCCCUGCUCUCUACUCUACAACACUGGAAUGCACUAUUUUAGCAGGAGAAUGAUCCUCCUCCCAACGGUUCUCCUCUGGAGCGGGAAACCCCCCAAUGUCUAGAAACAGAAAUGUCUUAAAAGGACAGGCGAUGAGAGGAAUUCAGAACAGUCUUUACUCUCUCCACAUACACACACACACAACGUCUGAAACGGUGCCACAGCUAGUGUUAAAACAAAUUCCAACAGGACUUGGUUAGCGGUGACACCGGGAGGGACAAUGACAGCCAAUCAACAACGCCCUGUAUUUCUGUCCUAGAUCUCCCAUGCAGGCUGAAUAUUCCUGAAUAGGCCAGUCUGCCAUCCGGGCACCUAAGACCCAUAGAGAUGGUGUUGCCGGAUCUAUUUUUACCCACCAUGCCCUGCAAAUGGAGCCAAAAUGGCCGCCCAGUGGGCAUACCUCCAGCAAGGCUUCUAUGAAUUACUCAUUAGAGGCAGAUCUAUGAAUAUAGCCCUGGCCAACCCUGAUGAAAUAUUCACUGGAUGAAGAUACACAAGGGUGAAGAGAGAGAGAGAGAGAGAGAGAAAGAAAUAGAAGGUGUGAGAAAAUCACAUGCUUUGGAUUCUGAAAGAAGAGGAGAAUAAGUUAUUCAGGGUAGUUAGGGGUUGUGGUGUCACAACGCCUGGCGUGGUGGAGGCGGAGUCAAAUGCAGAGAGCAGAGGAUACUGGGGAAACGGGACUUUAUUCGGUUUCCAAAAUGAAGAAGUUACAGGUCUGUGAGAGCCAGAAAUCUUGCUUGUUUGUAGGUGACCAAAUACUUAUUUUCCACCAUAAUUUGCAAAUAAAUUCAUAAACAUCUUACAAUGGAUUUUCUGGAUUUGUUUUUCUCAUUUUGUCUGUCAUAGUUGAAGUGUACCUAUGAUGAAAAGUACAGGCCUCAUAUUUUUAGGUGGGAGAACUUGCACAAUUGGUGGCUGACUAAAUAUUUUUUUGCCCCACUGUAUAUAUCCCUCCCUCCCUCAUUAUAUCUCUCCCCCUCUAUAUACAGUAUAUCUCUAUAUCUCUCUCCCUCACUCUCUCUAUCUCG
ensembl:lncRNA